GAGCGGGGCGGGGCACGCGGCGGAAGACAGACCUCCCGCCCUGGGAGAGAGCACCCCCCGACCCCCGAGAGAGAGAUCGACAGAGAAGGGGACAAGAUGCAGUCAGAGAAACCCCAAGGCCUGUUCCUCCAAUUGAAUCCCAAUGCAUCCUCCACUGAGACUCAACUCCUGGUGCCAGCUCUAGAGAGCAGAGAUACACUUCCACCUACCCACUGUUUCAUGGCAGGCACUGAGUCACCCCUUGGGAAUCCCUGGCCCCUGUCCCUGCCCCCACCAUGCUGGACAGGAUGCCUGCUGCCUGCCCCAAGGGGUCAGAGGAAGCCAGGGCCUCUAGGGCUCAGUAUUUUUAUCAGCCUAGGAAACAAGAGACACAGAAGCGGAAACCAUGUGGUCAGAGAAAGUGAACAGCCCUUAUCUCAGGGGAACCCCCACCAGGGCUGGGGGCCAGACACCAGGAAGGGACGUUGAAAAGACUGUGGUCCGGUGGGCCCAGGUUUCAGGGCUUAUUUUGCUUUGGUUUUAUGUAACUCUUGCAGAAGGGGAAAUGAUGUGCUUAAAAACCAGUGAGAAAUCUCCUGGGUGGAGGAGCAAAUUUGG
rnacentral:lncRNA from 1 species